rnacentral:rRNA from 1 species
GUGGGGAAUAUUGGACAAUGGGCGAAAGCCUGAUCCAGCAAUGCCGCGUGAGUGAUGAAGGCCCUAGGGUUGUAAAGCUCUUUUACCCGGGAUGAUAAUGACAGUACCGGGAGAAUAAGCUCCGGCUAACUCCGUGCCAGCAGCCGCGGUAAUACGGAGGGAGCUAGCGUUGUUCGGAAUUACUGGGCGUAAAGCGCACGUAGGCGGCUUUUUAAGUCAGAGGUGAAAUCCCGGGGCUCAACCCCGGAACUGCCUUUGAAACUGGAGAGCUAGAAUCUUGGAGAGGCGAGUGGAAUUCCGAGUGUAGAGGUGAAAUUCGUAGAUAUUCGGAAGAACACCAGUGGCGAAGGCGACUCGCUGGACAAGUAUUGACGCUGAGGUGCGAAAGCGUGGGGAGCAAAC